UUAUCUGAAAUUAAUUAUUGAAGCUUUUCAAAACUACGGACAUUUCUGUGGGUGAAUUUUUAAAAAAUACGCCUUACGCAAUCGUGGUUUUUGACGAACAUGAUGAUUUCGAUAAUAAGUUGAUAGACCUUGUUCCAACUUCAUGGAUAAUUAUUAAUGAGGAUGACGAGGAAUGUUUGUGUCAAUAUCCACCAAUUGAAAUAGCAAGAACCCAGCUAACUAAGUGGUUGAAAGAACUGAAAAAACCUGACAAGAAUUGGACAAGUCACCAAGUUGAGGUUAAACUUCAUGCUCAUGAUUACAAACAAGGUCUAAGAAGACUUCAGCGAGCUUUUACAACUGCUCAAGCAGCUAGCGAGUCCGAAGAUUCAUAUAAACCGACGUUAUAAUGUGAGACGGUACACGAAGAAAUACAAGCUAUAUUAAAUGAAUCCUCUUCAUUGAACAAUGAAUCAAUAGUGGCUAAAUAAAAUUGUAAUGAAAACCAAUCGACGAAAGAUUCUGAGAGUUCAAAAACAAGUAUUCACAAUAAAACAGCAAAUAAUGCAAACUUAUCUUUAAAGUGAACAUUUUAAUUUAAUAUGUAGCUAAUCUGAGUGGUGCUGAAGGAAAAAUACCGAAAAGGUCUCAAAAAGAGAACUUAGAUGAUAAAUUAAGUGAACUUAAAAGCAAAAUGACUCCAGAGCAACAGAUUGUAAUCGAGUACCUGGAAUCCGAACAAAAACAGUUUCACUGUAAAAAAAAGGCCAUUCGGCAGCCGAAAUGGAAGUAGAUUUCAUAACAAUAAAAAAAACUACUAGGAUAUACAAAAAAAAAAAAUCUGUCAUUACACAGAUUUCCGCAUCACUCAUGAGGUACCGUGUAGUUUAAUGCGUUCCCAUUUUUUUACGUGGUGGGUCCCCAGUAGGCCUAUGCCACGCAGGUGAAAGGAAUGGAGGUAAAACAAGCAAUUAAAGCACUCUAAAAGCUGAAAAAA